rfam:Triticum aestivum genome assembly, contig: Triticum_aestivum_CS42_TGACv1_scaffold_034218_1BL
CAACUACUCCCUCCGUUCAGAAUUAGUUGUCGCAGAAAUGGAUGUAUUUAGAUGUAUUUUAGUUCUAGAAACAUCCAUUUCCAAGACAAGUAAUUCUGAACGGAGGGAGUAAGUU